UACAAUUCUAGAUUUGAUUUCUAGAUUUAAUCUAUUUGAUUUCGAGUUAUUUAUUUAUUUAUUUUUUUGCAAUUUCAGGUUGUUGAUGUUGCCUUUAUUUAAGAGGAAAGAGAAAGCCUUAAAAAUGCGACUAUUUGACACUCUGUUCCAGGGUCUGUCACAAAGGGAGUUAAAUCUGUGGAGAAGUUUGAUACGUUGCCAACACAAAUUAAAAUUUAAUAAGAAGUGAUCAGAAGAAAUUGUAGUAUCUAAUGCGAAAUUGAAGGAUUUGAGGUGAAAGUUGACAUCUUCGAUAACAUCUUCCUCAACAUGGGUGACCCACACGUGAUAUGAUCACGCCUACUUCGAUGAACGGUCCGCAUUGAACAGUUGACUUGCUAUUUGCGACUGCGUCAUCGUCCUCCUCACGCUGUUGCUCAUUGGUCUCAUUUACACCCAACGGGAUUCUACACACACUCGACUGCUUACAGCAAUACAGAAGUGACCACUCGCAACCAAGAACUUAAUACAGCUCUCACGACAAACGCACUAAGCUUGGUGAACUUAAUACAGCUCUCCCCAUAAGUACUAAAAAUUCUGUGAACUUAAACACAGCUUUCUCGGUCUUUCGCAAAUACUGCAAGUAGUUGUAUGUGUUCAUCGAAUUCUAUCCCUGAAAUAAUUGGCUCAAGCGAGUAUUGGCUAAAGCGACGAACCUUGCGGCAUUCUCCAUAUUAAAAUUCGUAUAGGUGAUGCAAUAAUUUUUUUUUCAUAGCAUCUCUCAGUCUUCCACAAAGUUAAAAACAAAGGCAAAUUGUGUGGAAGCUCAAUCUUAUUCAGUUCGUUUCUGAGAGUUGCCCAGUUAGAGCGCAGUUAAAGACAUUCUUAAUAUCCAGAUCCACCCCAAUUGUGUGCUUAUUUUCCUGUUCAGCUGCAGUAACGAAAGUCUGCUAAGACAUCCGUCCUCUACCGAAUCAAUUAAUUUGAAGGUGCUAGAUAAUAGACUAGUCUCUGGGUAAUCCUCUAGAAUCUUGCCCCAGACCAACACAAGGGAGAUGAGCCUAUAGGAUUCAGGCAAUCUUAGAUAUCUCUUUAGCUUACCAAUAAAAGCGACGACGUUAUAUAAUUUUCCAUUAUUUUUGGAAAAGUUCCCGUUUUCAGACAUUUAUUGAAGAACUCCAGUAGCCAAUGACGAUUGAUACAGAAGAUAUCUCCGAAAAUUUCCGCCCGGCGCCUGAUUUUAGAGUUAAUCCAUUGUGAAUGGAGGACCAUUAUUUGCCAAGUUACCUCACUGGUGCAUGUUCAAAAUCAACCUCCGGAAAAUGAUGUGACGUAAUAUUUUCAACAGUGCCCACUAAA